rnacentral:rRNA from 1 species
UGGCGAACGGGUGAGUAACACGUGAGUAACCUGCCCUUGACUUUGGGAUAAACUUCAGGAAACUGGGGCUAAUACCGGAUAGGAGCUCCUGCUGCAUGGUGGGGGUUGGAGAGUUUCGGCGGUUGGGGAUGGACUCGCGGCUUAUCAGCUUGUUGGUGGGGUAGUGGCUUACCAAGGCUUUGACGGGUAGCCGGCCUGAGAGGGUGACCGGCCACAUUGGGACUGAGAUACGGCCCAG